UCUUCGGAUACGAGGGUGGUCACCGAUCCUAGACGAGCCCCCAAAUGAAAGACCUCCAGAGUGGGGAGACCCUCACUCAAGUCUCAGGAUGAAGUGACUCCUAAGAACUCACGUAAGACC
rnacentral:pre_miRNA from 14 species